GACGUAGGGGGCCAGCGUUGCUCGGAAUUACUGGGCGUAAAGGGUUCGUAGGCGGUGUGGCAAGUCGGGAGUGAAAUCUCUGGGCUUAACUCAGAGGCUGCUUCCGAAACUGCCGUGCUAGAGUGCGGGAGAGGCGAGUGGAAUUGCAGGUGUAGCGGUGAAAUGCGUAGAUAUCUGGAGGAACACCUGUGGCGAAAGCGGCUCACUGGACCACAACUGACGCUGAGGCGCGAAAGCUAGGGGAGCAAACAGG
rnacentral:rRNA from 1 species